AGUCGAGCGCCCUGCUUGCAGGGAGCGGCAGACGGGUGAGUAAUGCAUGGGAAUCUACCCAGCUCUACGGAAUAACUCAGGGAAACUUGAACUAAUACCGUAUGCGCCCUUCGGGGGAAAGAUUUAUCGGAGUUGGAUGAGCCCAUGUCUGAUUAGCUAGUUGGUGGGGUAAAGGCCUACCAAGGCGACGAUCAGUAGCUGGUCUGAGAGGAUGAUCAGCCACACUGGGACUGAGACACGGCCCAGACUCCUACGGGAGGCAGCAGUGGGGAAUAUUGGACAAUGGGGGCAACCCUGAUCCAGCCAUGCCGCGUGAGUGAUGAAGGCCCUAGGGUUGUAAAGCUCUUUCACCGGUGAAGAUAAUGACGGUAACCGGAGAAGAAGCCCCGGCUAACUUCAUGCCAGCAGCCGCGGUAAUACCAAGGGGGCUAGCGUUGUUCGGAAUUACUGGGCGUAAAGCGCGCGUAAGCGGAUCGGUCAGUUAGGGGUGAAAUCCCGGGGCUCAACCCCGGAACUGC
rnacentral:rRNA from 1 species